rnacentral:rRNA from 1 species
GGACUACCCGGGUAUCUAAUCCUGUUUGCUCCCCACGCUUUCGUGCAUGAGCGUCAGUGUCAUCCCAGGGGGCUGCCUUCGCCAUCGGUAUUCCUCCACAUCUCUACGCAUUUCACUGCUACACGUGGAAUUCUACCCCCCUCUGACACACUCUAGCCUCGUAGUUUCAAAUGCAAUUCCCAGGUUGAGCCCGGGGCUUUCACAUCUGACUUGCGAAACCGCCUGCGCACGCUUUACGCCCAGUAAUUCCGAUUAACGCUUGCACCCUACGUAUUACCGCGGCUGCUGGCAC